GGUUGGUGGCUCAGUCUCUAAGAGUUCCCAGCAGUCAAGCCCCUUUUCCAGAUAACCCAGUUCAUCCAUAGCUGCUCGAUAGCUACAAGACCAAAAUUUCUUUAUCUUCACUCAAGCAAGAAGAAUAUGCUUCUAAAAGGUAGCAAAGA